rnacentral:rRNA from 1 species
ACUCGAGUGGCGAACGGGUGGGUAACACGUGGGUGAUCUGCCCUGCACUUCGGGAUAAGCCUGGGAAACUGGGUCUAAUACCGGAUAGGAGCCAUUUUUAGUGUGAUGGUCGGAAAGUUUUUCGGUGUAGGAUGAGCUCGCGGCCUAUCAGCUUGUUGGCGGGGUAAUGGCCUACCAAGGCGGCGACGGGUAGCCGGCCUGAGAGGGUGGACGGCCACAUUGGGACUGAGAUACGGCCCAG